rnacentral:rRNA from 1 species
UACGUAGGGUGCGAGCGUUAAUCGGAAUUACUGGGCGUAAAGCGUGCGCAGGCGGCUUUGCAAGACAGAUGUGAAAUCCCCGGGCUCAACCUGGGAAUUGCGAUUGUGACUGCAAAGCUGGAGUGCGGCAGAGGGGGAUGGAAUUCCGCGUGUAGCAGUGAAAUGCGUAGAUAUGCGGAGGAACACCGAUGGCGAAGGCAAUCCCCUGGGCCUGCACUGACGCUCAUGCACGAAAGCGUGGGGAGCAAACAGG